GUGAAGAUGCAGUGUACCCGCGGCAAGACGGAAAGACCCCGUGAACCUGUACUAUAGCUUGAAACUGAACAUUGAGCCUUGAUGUGUAGGAUAGGUGGGAGGCUUUGAGGCGUGGACGCCAGUCUGCGUGGAGCCAACCUUGAAAUACCACCCGUUAAUGUUUGAUGUUCUAACGUUGGCCCCUGACCGGGAUUGCGGACAGUGUCUGGUGGGUAGUUUGACUGGGGCGGUCUACUCCCAAAGCGUAACGGAGGAGCACGAAGGUUAGCUAAUCCUGGUCGGACAUCAGGAGGUUAGUGCAAUGGCAUAAGCUAGCUUGACUGCGAGCGUGAC
rnacentral:rRNA from 1 species